CAUUAUUUUGAUUAUUCGUUUUAUUUAAAAUUUUUUUAUGAUUAAUUUUUUUAUUCUUACUAGAUGAUAAAAUAUGAAUAGUACUUUAUACCUGACUAAUUUUUUUAAGUUUUUGUGCAAAUUUUUCAAAUAAGACGAAUGGUCAAACGUCGGGCACGGAAA
rnacentral:pre_miRNA from 1 species